CACGUAGGGGGCGAGCGUUGUCCGGAUUUAUUGGGCGUAAAGAGCUCGUAGGCGGUUCGGCAAGUCGGGUGUGAAAUUUCGAGGCUCAACCUCGAAACGCCACUCGAUACUGCUGUGACUGGAGUCCGGUAGAGGAGUGCGGAAUUCCUGGUGUAGCGGUGAAAUGCGCAGAUAUCAGGAGGAGCACCAAUGGCGAAGGCAGCACUCUGGGACGGUACUGACGCUGAGACGCGAAAGCAUGGGGAGCGAACAGG
rnacentral:rRNA from 1 species